rnacentral:tRNA from 1 species
UCCCUUGAGGACUAGUGGUUAGGCCACAGUGCUCUCACUGCUGCGGCCCAGGUUCGAUUCCUGGCCAGGGAA